rnacentral:rRNA from 1 species
GAGUUMGKCAMGGCUCAGARCGAACGCUGGCGGCAGGCUUAACACAUGCAAGUCGAACGGGUGUAGCUMUACAUCAGUGGCAGACGGGUGAGUAACACGUGGGAACCUUCCUAGGGGUACGGAAMMAMYYMRGGRAAACUUGAGCUAAUACCGUAUACGUCCGUAAGGAGAAAGAUUUAUCGCCCUUAGACGGGCCCGCGUCGGAUUAGGUAGUUGGUGGGGUAACGGCCUACCAAGCCUACGAUCCGUAGCUGAUCUGAGAGGAUGAUCAGCCACACUGGGACUGAGACACGGCCCAGACUCCUACGGGAGGCAGCAGUGGGGAAUCUUGGACAAUGGGCGCAAGCCUGAUCCAGCCAUGCCGCGUGAGUGAAGAAGGCCUUCGGGUUGUAAAGCUCUUUUGUCAGGGACGAUAAUGACGGUACCUGAAGAAUAAGCCCCGGCAAACUUCGUGCCAGCCGCCGCGGUAAUACA